rnacentral:rRNA from 1 species
AGCAGCCGCGGUAAUUCCAGCUCCAAUAGCGUAUAUUAAAGUUGUUGCAGUUAAAAAGCUCGUAGUUGAAUUUCGGGGUUAGCAAGUUGGUCGUGCCUCUGGUAUGCACUGGCUUUGCUGAUUCCUCCUUCUUGAAGAACUGUGAUGCUAUUAAUUUGGUGUUGCAGGGAAACAGGACUGUUACUUUGAAAAAUUAGAGUGUUUAAAGCAGGCUAACGCUUGAAUACAUUAGCAUGGAAUAAUGAAAUAGGACGUUUGAUCCUAUUUUGUUGGUUUCUAGGAUUGACGUAAUGAUUAAUAGGGAUAGUUGGGGGCAUUAGUAUUCAAUUGUCAGAGGUGAAAUUCUUGGAUUUAUUGAAGACUAACUACUGCGAAAGCAUUUGCCAAGGAUGUUUUCAUUAAUCAAGAACGAAAGUUAGGGGAUCGAAGACGAUCAGAUACCGUCGUAGUCUUAACCAUAAACUA